rnacentral:siRNA from 1 species
AAAGGUGAACAAACAAAACAAG